GGGGAAUAUUGCACAAUGGGCGCAAGCCUGAUGCAGCAACGCCGCGUGAAUGAUGAAGGCCUUCGGGUCGUAAAGUUCUGUCCAAAGGGAAGAAUACAGUGACGGUACCUUUGGAGGAAGCCCCGGCUAACUACGUGCCAGCAGCCGCGGUAAUACGUAGGGGGCAAGCGUUAUCCGGAAUCACUGGGCGUAAAGGGAGCGUAGGCGGUUAGACAAGCCAGAGGUGAAAGGCAAUAGCUUAACUAUUGUAAGCCUUUGGAACUGUUUGACUUGAGUGCAGGAGAGGAAAGUGGAAUUCCUAGUGUAGCGGUGAAAUGCGUAGAUAUUAGGAGGAACACCAGUGGCGAAGGCGACUUUCUGGACUGUAACUGACGCUGAGGCUCGAAAGCGUGGGGAGCGAAC
rnacentral:rRNA from 1 species